CGAAGGGUGCAAGCGUUACUCGGAAUUACUGGGCGUAAAGCGUGCGUAGGUGGUUGUUUAAGUCUGUUGUGAAAGCCCUGGGCUCAACCUGGGAACUGCAGUGGAAACUGGACAACUAGAGUGUGGUAGAGGGUAGCGGAAUUCCCGGUGUAGCAGUGAAAUGCGUAGAGAUCGGGAGGAACAUCCAUGGCGAAGGCAGCUACCUGGACCAACACUGACACUGAGGCACGAAAGCGUGGGGAGCAAACAGGAUUAGAUACCCUGGUAGUCCACGCCCUAAACGAUGCGAACUGGAUGUUGGGUGCAAUUUGGCACGCAGUAUCGAAGCUAACGCGUUAAGUUCGCCGCCUGGGGAGUACGGUCGCAAGACUG
rnacentral:rRNA from 1 species